rnacentral:rRNA from 1 species
GGAUGCAGCAGUGGGGAAUUUUGGACAAUGGGCGAAAGCCUGAUCCAGCAAUGCCGCGUGUGUGAAGAAGGCCUUCGGGUUGUAAAGCACUUUUGUCCGGAAAGAAAUCCUUGGCUCUAAUACAGUCGGGGGAUGACGGUACCGGAAGAAUAAGCACCGGCUAACUACGUGCCAGCAGCCGCGGUAAUACGUAGGGUGCGAGCGUUAAUCGGAAUUACUGGGCGCAAAGCGUGCGCAGGCGGUUUGCUAAGACCGAUGUGAAAUCCCCGGGCUCAACCUGGGAACUGCAUUGGUGACUGGCAGGCUAGAGUAUGGCAGAGGGGGGUAGAACUCCACGUGUAGCAGUGAAAUGCGUAGAGAUGUGGAGGAAUACCGAUGGCGAAGGCAGCCCCCUGGGCCAAUACUGACGCUCAUGCACGAAAGCGUGGGGAGCAAACAGGAUUAGAUACCCUGGUAGUCCACGCCCUAAACGAUGUCAACUAGUUGUUGGGGAUUCAUUUCCUUAGUAACGUAGCUAACGCGUGAAGUUGACCGCCUGGGGAGUACGGUCGCAAGAUUAAAACUCAAAGGAAUUGACGGGGACCCGCACAAGCGGUGGAUGAUGUGGAUUAAUUCGAUGCAACGCGAAAAACCUUACCUACCCUUGACAUGGUCGGAAUCCCGCUGAGAGGUGGGAGUGCUCGAAAGAGAACCGGCGCACAGGUGCUGCAUGGCUGUCGUCAGCUCGUGUCGUGAGAUGUUGGGUUAAGUCCCGCAACGAGCGCAACCCUUAUCCUUAGUUGCUACGCAAGAGCACUCUAAGGAGACUGCCGGUGACAAACCGGAGGAAGGUGGGGAUGACGUCAAGUCCUCAUGGCCCUUAUGGGUAGGGCUUCACACGUCAUACAAUGGUCGGAACAGAGGGUUGCCAACCCGCGAGGGGGAGCUAAUCCCAGAAAACCGAUCGUAGUCCGGAUUGCACUCUGCAACUCGAGUGCAUGAAGCUGGAAUCGCUAGUAAUCGCGGAUCAGCAUG